rnacentral:rRNA from 1 species
UACGUAGGGUGCAGGCGUUAAUCGGAAUUACUGGGCGUAAAGCGUGCGCAGGCGGUCUUUUAAGUCAGAUGUGAAAUCCCCGGGCUUAACCUGGGAACUGCGUUUGAAACUACAGGACUAGAGUGUGGCAGAGGGAGGUGGAAUUCCAUGUGUAGCAGUGAAAUGCGUAGAGAUAUGGAAGAACAUCGAUGGCGAAGGCAACCUCCUGGGUUAACACUGACGCUCAUGCACGAAAGCGUGGGGAGCAAACAGG